AGGAGACAGAGUACAAUGAACAGAAUAGAUGC
rnacentral:piRNA from 1 species